rnacentral:rRNA from 2 species
UACGGAGGGUGCAAGCGUUGUUCGGAAUCAUUGGGCGUAAAGAGCGUGUAGGCGGCCGCGUAUGUCAGGUGUGAAAGUCCCGGGCUCAACCUGGGAAGUGCAUUUGAAACUGCGUGGCUAGAGUAAGGGAGAGGAAAGUGGAAUUCCUGGUGUAGAGGUGAAAUUCGCAGAUAUCAGGAGGAACACCUGUGGCGAAGGCGGCUUUCUGGCCCUAUACUGACGCUGAGACGCGAAAGCGUGGGGAGCAAAC